rnacentral:misc_RNA from 1 species
GCGAGGGUGAAGACGGGAUUCGCGACGCAUCCGCCUUCGAUCCAUGUGGCUCCCAUUUCUGCGACACCGUCACCUAACCAGCAGGAAUGGAUUCGACCACCAGUAUUGUGAAAUUCUGCAAACCGCAUUGGACGAAACGAUGAGCUGCGGAAAGGCCGGCCAUUCCACCGCCGAUUAUAACUACCGUUGGUUCUGGUUUGCUCGGAUCCAACAUGCAAGGAUUUAAUUGACAGGAUUCGAAUUUCGACAAUUUUCCACAUCCUCGAAUCUCCGUCGUGGAUAAACAUUUCACGUCGUCUUUUUUUAGUGAAAAUAAUCUGUGAGGUAGGCUGAUUGAAUGAAUUUGAA